GUCAACAGCAGCAUGAAAAAACUUCUCUUUGGAGACUUUCCAUUGAGUUCAGGCAGGUGUUUAACACGUUCUCUGGCAGGACAGAUAUCUUUCCUACCCUCGCCAGCUCCUAUAGAAGUAAGGGAAAGAAAACUGCAAGCUUGCAAACCAAUGCUGCAAACCCUACAAGUGCUAGAGCUCUGUUGGAAUUUCCCCACCUUGUAAGAGCUUGGUCCAGGUGUCCCAGAGGCACCAACCCCGGAUCAAUAAACAAAAUGGUAGCUGAGGAUGCUGUUCUUACACUGUUUAGAGGUGAAUUAGCUGUUAACCAUUUCUUUUGCUCAUUUAGAGCAUGAUUUUCCUAGUGAGUCAUUUCUAAGGGAGACUCUUGGGUUCUGAAGAAAUGAAACAAAUUGAAAGGGUCUGAUAAACAUAUCUGCUCUGCAACAAAGAACACACAUCAUUUCAAGGUGACCUGUAUCUGGCUGCCUAGCUGUGUUUUUCAAUCAUAAAAGAUAUGCAUAAAAACUACCUGUAAAACACCUAAGGUAGAUGACUGAAAUAGAUCAGAUAAAUUGAUUUUAGCAUGGCUUUUUUUCCCCCCUCAUUUGACUAGAAGAGGAAUACAGAUUUCCUCUGAUGGUGAUCUCCAUCUUAUAGACAUCUGAGUCAAAGGGUCUUCUGGAAAACCCACUUAUAGCCAAAAAAUCAAACAACAGCCUAUUUGUCUGGGGAGUAACUUGCUGCAUUGCAUAACAUAGUAUAAGCUGAGGAUGCAUGAAAAAAGUUAUUUGGGCUUUUACAGUAAACACCUCAGUAUUUAAUUCAAGAAUUAGCUAUCCUACUGGAAAGCAAAUUAUUCCAACAGCUUCCAUACACCUAAAAUUAAUCCUUUAAAAACUAAAUGGAUUUAAGAUAAUUUGCCUUAAAAAUAUCAACUGCAAUUUUUUAGGGUUUCAAUAAAUCUAGACAGUAACAGAAAGCCUCCUACUUCUGGUGGCAAAUGAGCUCUCUGUGUCUGGGGUGUGACCUAAGCAGGCUGUUGACUAAUCUAAAUGUAAAUGGAAGGAAAUGUGGAAGAAAAUCAGCAACCCUUGACUCUCCAGGUGAGGUUCUUGCCUCUGGGGAAUCUCCACCUUCUGCUACUCACAUGAAAUCUAAGGGAGAAACAAGAAACUUGAGGAUUGCUGGAGGAUGGACCAGGCCUAGGAAGAGAGACUCUAGUAUAUUUAUUUUCAUGUUACACACAGAUACAUAUAAUCAGCUCUGCAGCUGAAGUGUACAUUUAGUUUUACUGGUAAGCUGUGGUUGAAACACUUCGAAACACAGUAGUGUUCAAAAACUCUUCGGGUAAACUUAGCAGAAUUGUCCACCUGCUGUCAUGGUGUCUUUUCCAACUGAAUCUGGCAUUAGAUCAGAGUAUCACUCACUGGUAAUGAACACAAUUCUUCUCUCCUUUGAGUGUUUCCUUGCAGUACAUUUCAGACUAUUCAUGUUUUGUUCACAGUACUGCCCCUGCUCUCCACACUUUCUGCUCACACACUUGCAUGUUUCCCAGAGGGAAAGAGAAGCAGAGAAAUAAAUCAAUAGACAGUUCUGUCUAGGAAGACACGCUUGAUUUCAAAUAAAUACAGUUCCAUCACACUGGACCGCUUUGGAGGAAAGUGAGUUGUUCUCUGUUUUCUUGCAACAUGAAUUUUUCUCAGCCAGUUGCCAACAUUUUUCAGCACUUGGCUAUGAAAGCUGGUUAAUGUAUAAAUAAAGGAAUAGCAUCGACUUUCAUGACAUCUCUAUCCAUCUUCCUGUUUUUUCGUGUUUGGAUUCAGCUUCCAAAAUGCAGCCAAGUAAAUAUCAGAGCAGAGUGAUAAAUAACUCAAGCACCAACCUUUUAGGAAGAAAAGCCUCUAGUGAACAUUGACUACUUUGUAGAGACAAAGUGCAUCCCUCAGGAAUGAGGGGUACUGAGCUGUGCAGUCACAGGGAACUUAACUUGGAGUCUGCAGUCAGUCCACACUUUCUCCACUGCAUUUAUUUUGUUUUUAGCAGAAUUUAGAGGAAUUUUGACAUGUCUCUCCCAAUAACACUUUCACAGAAGGUUUGAUUUGGUGCAAACCUAAAUGUUUUCAGCUCUGGUUUUGAUAUUUAGCCAAAAAAGGCCCAGCAAUUUCUGGUUAUGAGUGUCACUUCUUUUGACUGACACCAAAUGAAAUGUGAUAAAAACUCCUUUUAGGACAAAAGAAUAAAUUACUUCAGACCCAGGUGAGUUCCUGAUGAUUGUCUUCUCACUAUUUCUCUUCUAAAAUUUCCCCAUCCAUGCACAUUCCUCCCACUCCCUCCUUCCCCUUCCUCACAAAACCCUAUGUCCUCCUUGGGAACAAAAAUGUGGCUGUUUUGUCUAAGACCACACAAAAUCUUCACCCUACAACUUCAGAGCCCAACCUUGUCUGCAGAUCUGUGUGCUCAUCUGCAAGUCAUGAGGUGCAUUUAUCCACCCUGAGCUUUGCAGCCAAAGGUUGGGAUUCUCCCAUAAAGAGAGGAGCGAGCGGCAUCACUCAUGGGUGGCUCUCUGUGCACCAACACAAAAUGCCAUCUGGUCCUAAAUGCAUAAAAUGCAUCCAAAGAGCCACAAAAUCCCAUAGAGGAACGUCUCCAUCAUAUGGUGGAUGUGUGAGUAUGUCAAACUACACCAUCUCCUCAUGGGUGGGUGUCUAGGACAUCGGAGAAGACCUGCUUUCAGUGGAACACAGCUGGGAUAAGGAGGAUAACCUCCUGAGCUCAGUGAGGGAGGAAAUCCAGCCCAGGCUCUGCCCAGGUGGCCCCCAGCCUGUCAGUGGGAGCACAGAGCUCAGAGCCCAGCAGGAGAACAGGGACCUGGGCAGCUCACAGGCAGCAAGGCACCACUGGCACAGCAAGUCCAGAGGGAAAUCACACUUUUACGUCUGGCAGAGGGAAAAAUUAUAAUGCAAAACUGGUUGGAAACGGAAAUGUUAAUGAUAAAACGCAAGUGUCCACUUGGGGGUGGCAAAGCAUUUCAGCUGUGUCUUCAGGGAGCAGGAAUUGCCUUCUCUCUGCAGGCCUAUCGUGUAGCUCUUACCCUCUCCAUGGCUUGUUCGACAAGACUGCAGAUGGUAAAAUGGGUCUGAGAGAAAACAUGGUCUAAAAUUCCCCUUGUGCUACAGGAAAAGAUGACUCACCAUCUUCCAUGAACCUCCCAGGUCUCACCUCACCUCAGAGUCCCACAGAGAGAGACAAACAGAAGACUUUGGGGGAAACAAAGUAAGAAGCCAUGGAAAAGGAGUACAGCCCCUUCCACCUGUGAUGGGAAGUGUCAUCUGGAUCCCCAGUGACCUGGAAUGAGCCUUCAUGCAUACAGUGUAUCAUCUUUCAGGAACUAAUGUUCCUAUUCGUUGUGAUAACUCUGUGUACUCUGACUAUGAGAGUAACUCCCAGUCCCUUGACAACACACAUGGGAUGGUUUUCUGUGGCAGUGCGUGCCAAGCCUGAGCCCAGAGCAGUGGCUAAACCAAGCCCUGUGUCAGGGGGCACAGGGGAGACAUUUCUCUGAAACACAAUGAACAGGCUUUGAAACUUGGGACAGAGAGUCUUACAGAAUUCUUUGUCAUGUAAUGGAUUCCUCCUGACCUCCCUUGACACAAUUCUGUAGCAUCCUGUCCCUGCAGUCAGCAGAGCUCAUCAGCUCAGAUGUAAGUGUGCUGCCUUCAGGAUCUGUUUGCACAACUGGGAUGCAGGAAAGUUUUUUGGACCUAUGUUGUGCUUUAUGGCAAAAUCUGAAUUCAGUAGUUGUAGUAUCACUGCAAAAUUCCCGUUUUUAUUACCUUUGUAUUAGGUUUGCCCCAGUUCCCUGUGUUGUCAGUGUUGUCCAGGGUUUUUUCUGGAUCCAUGUAGAUCUCUGACUUUGCAAUCCACCUGGUACAGGCAGGUGUGAAAUCUGCUGAAGCACAACCACAAGGCUCCACUGGUGGAGACAACACAUAAGUAUCUGAAGCUGAAGCAAUGAUAAGAAGUUCUCACAAACUGCAGGAGAUGGGGUAUAGCAGGGACCUACCCAUUUGUACAUGCAAAGGUGGAUGGGCAAAAAUAAAACUAUCUGAUGUACAUUCCCUGGGCAGAUAUCCCCCACCAGCUGCAUUAAUCACUACCCCCCACCCAGAUCUUUACCUUGCUCAGAAAGCAAAGGUUUUGUUUUGCAUUUAUUUUACAAUUACUGGCUCCCCGAUUCUUCUGGCCCAGAAAUAGCUAUUACUGGUUUCUGAUGCCUAUCAGCCCAGCUCAGAGCUGCUCUCAUUCUUGCCUACUUGCUCAUGUUGACAAGAGAGGUUUGCAACAGCCAUACCUGGAGAAGGUCAUGAGAGAGAGAAGCGGGACUGGCUUACCCAAACCUAGAUAUAGAUAAGGCUUAUGCAGCAAGUUGCCUCAUUUCAAAGUAAGUAAACGCUGAUGUUUAGGUUGGUGCACAAAAGGCCAUUUGAUAAGACUUGGCUAAGCUGUGUCUCUCUCCUGUGCUGGUAACAUUGGGAGUGUGUCUCACUUUUUAAAAGCAGCUCUUCACUGGCACAGCUUGCAGUGAGCAAGCUGAGAUUCCCAUCCCUACUGUUAGCUCAAGUGUAAUAUAGUGCUUCUCAAACAUAUGUUAAAUACAAUCUUCUUAAUUUAAGCAAUGAGACACCUCUCCAAUCUUUUCUUGCUGAAAUCAGUCUUUUAGGAAGGUCUUUUCUCUUUUUGUUUUCUUAAAGCAAUUUUCUUUAACUUCUCUCUCACCUGGAUCAUCACAUGGAAAGUCACAGACCAGUGGAGAGCUGAGAACUGCUGACAGAUGUCCUGUGUGUGCCAGGGGCACUCAUGUAUUCAGCAGAGUCCAUGAGAUUGUGACCCUCAAUCACAAACAUGCUCUUCUGGGCAGAAAUCUUGCAAGUGGGAUGUUCAGGGGCCCAGUGCUUGCAGCAAGGAGAAAUCACACUGAGGAAAGCCAUCCUGAAGCGCUGGGACAACAGGUUGUAAAUGAUGGGGUUCGUGGCAGAGCUCAGAUAGAAGAAAACACCUGAGAGAGAGAGAGAUUAAUUUAUGUGUGAAACGAUCUCAGAAGAGGAAAAACUCUUCAUUGCUUAUACAGCUCCACCAAGCUUUGGUGCAAGGGUGGAGGCAGCAACAGCAGAGCUCUGCCUGCUGCCUUCCUGGCACAGGCAGAGGGAUGUCUCACCGAGAUUAGCUCAUACACUGCAGUUGCAGUGAAAAGAAAAUGGGAGAGAUUGUUAAUUGGAGCUCACUCUCUCCAGCUCUUCAGGAACCAGCUCUCUCUUGAGCUGUCCUGCCCUGCCUCCAGCACUGCCCUCAUCCCCACAGCAGGGUUUACACAGCUGGUGUCCCCAUCAGAGCUGUCAGAGGACAACUUCCAGCCAAGGGAAGCUAAUUUCUUACAACACACCAGGACAACUGCACAAGAUCAGAUUUGUCUGAGUUGCCUAAUGGCCACAUUCAGUGUUUUCCCAUGGCAGACUGAGAAUAUGAUUCCUUUUGGAAAAAGCCUUCAUUUUAUGGUUGGCAAGGCCAUAAACAUUUGGUUUCAUCACCCAUUCUGAGCAAUAGGUAAGUCUUUUGUCUUGCCAUUUGGUAAGGUUUCCCACUUGCCCCAGAGACCCUGUGGAGGAUGAUGCUUGUUCCUGUGUACUUGUUAAAAGCAGCUGAACAACAGCAGGCUUCACUUCUGAACAUUCCCAAGAAGGAAAAGCAGGUAAUGAUGCAUGGUAUACUUUUUUUUCCUUCUUUGUGAAUAUUCAGAUACUGUAUUGGACAAGACGUCCAGAUCUUGGAAGCUGCAGAAAAUUGCAUGUAGUUUUUAUUCAGGCACUAUUCUCAUCACUGCCCUCCAAAUCCUGAGAAGGUUUUCCAUGCAUGUCUCAUGUCACCUACAAAGUAAAUGAGGACAUAUUCCAAGUAAACCAUUCACAAAUACUUUUUUUUUUCCCAGUCCCUGUGCAAGUGGAAGAAGAAAGCUUUACCUGACACCACAUGAAUUAAGUUGAAUGUGUUAGCCAAAGGCUCAGUCCAUUCCACAACAAAGCUGAAGAAAAGUCGAUCUAUAUGGAAUGGAGCCCAGCAGAUAGCAAAAACUAUCACGAGGACAACUGGCAUGGAGAAAGGGGAGAAGAAAAACAGUCCCUGCUGCAAAGGUGUAAAUCUCUGAGAGGCUGGAAUCAAUCCACAGACUUCGGUGUUUCAGUGACAUUCGGAUGUGAGCAGCAGUGAUGAGGUUUGAAAUACUUUUGCCUUUUUGGGGGAAGACAGCUGGGCAAGAAAAAGGUGCAAGCACUCAAAAGACACAUACAGACACAAACACACAAGAAUGAGCCAAGGAAACACAGUACAGCUGGAGUAAGACUUACUCUUAGCCCCAUCAGAUAGUACAGCACACUUAUUACCCCCAUGGGCAGCGCAUAGAAGAGAAGAGAAGUAAUCUGGACAAUACAGUUGUAGAUCCACAAGGGCAUGACCACAGUGCAGGUAGCAGAGCCCGGGACCAGGGUGCCGUUGGGGAAAUGCUGCAGCAUGAUGCCAUGGGUGCCCGUGUUGGGGAGGGCAAAGAGGACAGAGAGGACCCAGAGCGCCAGGAUGGUCCUCAGGGCUCGCCUGCGGGUGCUCUUCAGCUUGGCACGGAAGGGGUGGAGGAUGGCGAUGUACCUCUCCACGCUGAGCGUGGUCACGCUGAGGAUGGAGGCAAAGCACACCGUCUCAAAGAGCGCCGUCUUCAGGUAGCAGCCGACGGGCCCGAACAGGAAGGGGUAGUUGCUCCACAUCUCGUAGACUUCCAGUGGCAUCCCGAAAAGCAGCACGAGCAGGUCCGAGACCGCCAGACUGAAGAGGUAAUAAUUGGUCGGGGUCUUCAUGUUCUGGUGCUUGAGGAUUACGAGGCAAACUAAGAAGUUCCCCACCACCCCAACAAUGAAGAUCAGGGUGUACACCAAAGCCAUGGGCAGGAACAGGUGGCUCCGUCUGGGCCCACAUAGGAAGGCUAAGUAAUCCUCAGUGCUGUUUAAGUACCCCCUGAAAUGUUCUUCCUGUAGAGCAAGGUGGUUUAACCAGGAGAUAUUACUGAUCCAGGCCAUUACUGAUCUGCUGAAAUGUUUCACAGCUGAGAUUUGGUCUUCUUUACGUUUCUCUGUGCUAGUUUGUUCACUUUUUGCAGAGAGAGGAGGGGUGGGUGGAGUUGUCUUGGCAGACCUGGAUGCACAAAGCCACUGAGGAUGUGAGUGAGUGUGUUUGCCUGGCUCUGGGUAAGGUUUUGCUGUUCAACAGCUGUUCCCCUGCACGGAGCCCCUCAGCCAGAAAGCCCCUCCUUUCACACAUAUUCAUUGGCUCGCUAAGUGCAUUAGAUUAUAGAGUAUGAACAGAGGUUCCAGCCACUUGCAUCAGCUCCCGUAGCUGAUGCGUUCACAGAAUCAGAAAUGUGGGAUUUAGAGAGCUGGGAGUGUGAAAUAUAGGAUGUAAUACCAGCUGAAGGUUGUUAGUAUUUGUCAGAGGGUGGGAAAACCAGACCAGAAAAACUCAAUCUAAAUAGCUUUUACAAAAUUAUAACGAUGCUACAUCCAGUUGUGAGCCACAAGCAAAACAAAAUAAAAAAAAAGUCUGGCAUGAUUUUAUUUUUCAAAUCUCUGCUGAUUUUUAUUUUGUGUUGUCUAUGGCAGCAAGUACUUGGAAACAGAGUUUGAUCAGCAGAAAGCCAGGCUGGUUUUUGUAGCCAUUCAUGUGGAAUUAGGUUACUAUAAUGCUUCAACCUUUUUUAAAAACACUGUGAUUAUUUUUUCUCCUGAACUCUGACAAAGGACUUUAAUUGCAAUUCUUACUGACAUCAAAAUAUUUUCUCACUUUCCUGGUAUGCUGGAAUCUGGUCCCAUAUUCUUAGAUAGCCUUGUUUGGGGAAUAUUUUUGUACACUGUAUUAUUCCAUAUUUAUUGCCUCUGGGCCGUGAACAUUUAUGAACAUUCAUCAAUGUAUUCUGCAAAAACACUUUCUGAGACCAAAAAAAAAGUAUAUCCUACAAGGAUCGUGGCUGUGUCAAAAUAUAUCAUUUAGCUCCUUAUGAAUGCUUGAUUCCUUACUGAAUUUCUCUAAAACAAAAAAGCUUCCAAGUCUGUAGAUGUAAUUUUCUGAGAUUCAGAAAAGUUCAGCUGUUUGAAGAGGUGAAAAAGAUGAGGGCUAGUUUAUAUUUUUUUUGGCAGGUUGGUGUGUGAUUUGUCUGCCCAGAACCUUUGACUAGCACUCACUUUUUAGUACCUGCCCAAUCCCCUCCUUGAAUCCACAUAAACUUUUUACAUCCCCGACAUCCUUUAGCAAGCUGCUCCUUGAAUCUUUUCUUGUGUAUUAUGUGUAUUUCUUUUCUCUGUCUGACCCUUUAGCUUAACCUCUCAAGAAAAAAAAGAGAUUGUUUCAAUAAUCACAGACUGCCUCCAAAAGCAGCAGCAGUAUGUGAAGAACCAAGGGCUGGUCCCAUCGAGGCAUAUUCAGUGUGGGGAGCCUGAGGACUACUAUGUAAUCAUUUAAAAUGCGAAAGGCAUGGAAGGUACCACAACAACUACACUAAAAGGCAGAAACAUGUCUCUUGUGAUGACUUUCAGACCUCCUGAGAUUAUCUCACACGUGAACUGUCUCCACCAGAAAGACCCUACUAAUUUAUUUUAGCAUUGCACAGAGGUAUUUUACUCAGCAGAUUGAAAGGUUUUACUGGAUUAGUGAGUAACAAACGUGCUCUUUUGACCUAUUGCCCCCUUCAUUAAGGGUUCAUUUUAUAGCUAUUCCCUGCAUUUUAACAAUGUUGAAUUUAAUCUCGAUCCACUGUUGAUGUGAGAGGUAGGAGCAGAGGAAUCAAUAGUAGGGUGCCUGUCUGACACUCAGAUUGAUUCUUUCAGAGCACAGCAGGAGAAAAGUAUUUGAGUAUUUGUGCAGGACUAAAUGUUUUCUGUCCCUCUGCUUAACUUUCAGUUUUGCUGGGUUUUGUUUGUUUGUUUGUU